UACAGAGGUCCCAAGCGUUGUUCGGAUUCACUGGGCGUAAAGGGUGCGUAGGUGGUCGGGUAAGUCUGAUGUGAAAUCUCUGGGCUCAACCCAGAAAUGGCAUUGGAUACUAUUCGGCUAGAGGAGUGGAGGGGGGACUGGAAUACUUGGUGUAGCAGUGAAAUGCGUAGAUAUCAAGUGGAACACCAGUGGCGAAGGCGAGUCCCUGGACACUUCCUGACACUGAGGCACGAAAGCUAGGGGGGCAAACAGG
rnacentral:rRNA from 1 species